AGUUUACACAACGGUUUGUGCCAGGCUGCCUUGGUGGUAGAAUGAAGAGGAAUCCGCCUGCCAGUGCAGGGGACACCGAUUCCAUCCCUGGUCUGGGAAGAUGGCACAUGCUGCUGAGCAACUGAAGUCCACCACUCCUGAAGCCUGCAUGCCUAGAGCCUGUGCUCUGCAGCAAGAGAAGCCACCACCAUGAGAAACCCAAGCACCACAGCUGGAGAGAAGCCCCCUGCUCGCCACAGCUGGAAAGAAGCCCCCUGCUCGCCGCAGCUGGCGAGAGGCCCCCUGCUCGCCACAGCUAGAGAGAAGCCUCCUGCUCACCACAGCUGGAGAGAAGCCCCCUGCUCACCGCAGCUGGAGAGAAGCCCCCUGCUCACCGCAGCUGGAGAGAAGCCCCCUGCUCACCGCAGCUGGAGAGAAGCCCCCUGCUCACCACAUCUAGAGAGAAGCCUCCUGCUCACCGCAGCUGGAGAGAAGCCCCCUGCUCACCACAUCUAGAGAGAAGCCCCCUGCUCACCGCAGCUGGAGAGAAGCCCCCUGCUCACCACAGCUAGAGAAAGUUUUUGCACAGCAACCAAGAGCCCAUACAACCAAAAAUUAAGGGGUCAGUUGUUUCCAAAGUCAGAGUGUGUCAUCAAUACGACUCGGACCCAGGACAACACUGGUGUCUUCCGGCGGGUACAGUGGGCACCACCAUCUCAUCAGAAAGCAAUCACCUUCAAGUCCUGGUGUCUCUCUCUGCUUGCCAUCCAUCCUGCGGGGUGUGGGUCAGCUCUUCAGCUGCCCACCAGUAACUCCCCUUUCCCUUAUACGUCUCUAUCAAUGCUCCUCUCACUGCUGUGGAGGUUUUAUCCAAAUUCUUUUCAUAGGGUCGCACACUGCUAGGGGGGGUUCCCUGGUGGCUCAGACAAUAAAGAAUCUGUGUGCAGUGCAGGAGACCACGUUCAGUCCCUGCGUGGGGAAGAUCCCCUGGAGGAGGGCAUGGCAACCCACCCAAGUAUUCUUGCCUGGAGAAUCCCAUGGACCGAGGAGCCUGGAGGGCUGCAGUUCAUGAGGUUGCAAAGAGUCGGACAUGACUCAACAAGUCACACACACACACACACAC
ensembl:lncRNA